rnacentral:rRNA from 1 species
UGGGGAAUAUUGCGCAAUGGGCGAAAGCCUGACGCAGCGACGCCGCGUGAGGGAUGAAGGUCUUCGGAUCGUAAACCUCUGUCAGCAGGGAAGAACGGUCACUGUGCUAAUCAGCAGUGAAUUGACGGUACCUGCAAAGGAAGCACCGGCUAACUCCGUGCCAGCAGCCGCGGUAAUACGGAGGGUGCGAGCGUUAAUCGGAAUUACUGGGCGUAAAGCGCUCGUAGGCGGUAUGUCAAGUCAAGGGUGAAAUCCCCGCGCUCAACGUGGGAACUGCCUUUGAAACUGGCAAACUGGAGUGUGUGAGAGGAUAGUGGAAUUCCAGGUGUAGGAGUGAAAUCCGUAGAUAUCUGGAGGAACACCAGUGGCGAAGGCGACUAUCUGGCACAUAACUGACGCUGAGGAGCGAAAGCGUGGGUAGCAAACAGG